AGUCCCUUCCCGGAGUGGGAUGAGCGGACUCUGUACUUCUCCCCCGUCCACCACAUUUCUGAGAGGGUGCGACGUGGGAUCACUGCUGGUAGGACAUGCUACCACGGCUCAGGCUGCGAUAACGUGGGUUUUUCCUCUGUCCUUCCUCGUCAUUUCCACCUAACUCUAAUCUUUCUCAAUCUCUAUCCUCUCCUUCCUCUCCAAGUCACACUAAAACAAUAUUAGGAAACAAUAUUAGCGGGUCGAUAGCGGUGAAAAAUUAUUUGGCGACAAUCGGUGGUUAGUGGUGGUAACGUUAGUAUAAGUGAAGGCAGGUCGAUAGCGGUGGUCGAUUGAAGAACAAGAAGACUAGAAAUCGUUACUGAUAUCUAAAUUUGAUAAAGAUUUGAAGUACUUUAUUGGUAUGUUGUUGCAAAAUUAAGGUGCUGUCCAUAGCUUGUUGGGAAAUAUUGAGAUGACAUUGUAGAUAUCGUUGGUUUAUUCGAGCUUUGAGGACUGCAAAUCGGCAUAAUACAUUCCUCCUGUUAUAAUAUUAGUUCGUAUUUGUAGAUUUCAAAUUAGUUUAUAAAUGUAACUUGUAACAAUUUCAUUCAGAUAAUAAAAUUUUUUUGAUGAUUAAUUUUAAGCAAUUACACAUUCUUUUGUUGAUUUGGUUUACUUGCAUUUUUUUUUUGGUCAAAUUUAAUAGAGUAUAAAAUUUCAAAUUUUAA